rnacentral:lncRNA from 1 species
CUCCCAUGUCAGAUUUGCUCUAAAUGCUUUGGUUUUUGAGUUAUAAGCCAAAAACUGCAUUUUACCCCUAUGUUCUAUUUUUAGCCAUAAGGCCAUCUUGGUUGGUUGGCCGGGUCACCGGACACAUUUUUUAAACUAAAUACCCCAAUGAUGAUUGUGGCCAAGUUUGGUUCAAUUUGGCCCAGUAGUUUCAGAUGAGAAGAUUUUUGUAAAAGUUAACGACGCAGGACGACGACGGACGCAGGACGACGACGGACGCAGGACGCAAAGUGAUGGGAAAAGAUCACUUGGCCUUUUAGGCCAGGUGAGCUAAAAAUAAAAAUUGGGGCAAGAUUAACCAUUUUUGUCUUUCUCACCUUCAUGGCAGUGUCUUCUCUAUACAACAAAAAUUUACAAGAAUAACUUUCAAAUAAUUAGUGCAAAUCGUGCGAUCUAAAGAACCAAAUUUUUUAUCAGAUUGCAGCUAUUUAUUUUCGAGAUUGUUCCAAUCUAAACAAAAAUAAUGAAUUUUAAAUAUAAAGGAAACUAGAUUGAGAAAAAAUACUUUGGAAAAACCAACAACAAUCUCAACAUGGCAGUAUAUCAUGUCAGUUUUCAGUUUUCACAAAAGAGUCGACAGUUCCCGGAUAUUUAAUCUCAUCAGUUGAAAAAACUUCAUGAGAAAAAAACUAACAAUGCCAUGGCAAAAAAUGAUAAAAAACACAACACAAAAAGUUUACAAAACCAUUUUUUGAAAACACAACACGGAAAACAACAGACUGAUCCCACCAAUAUAUAUAAGGGUGAUAUAAGAUGCCCCAGAAAGGUAAGUAUUAUUAGCCUGCUCCACAUGUGUCACCAUUCGUGUUACAUUGAUGGACACAAUGAGUUAUAAUGUAUGACCAUUCAGGUCAAAGUAAUUCCAACUGAUUUUUUUUCAAUGAAUAUAGUAGUUUACAGCUCCUUAUCUAAAGUUACAAACAUUUCAAAAAAAAUAUUUCAUGAAUUGAAUUUUUCGUCAUAAAAAUAAGAUUUUCAAAAAUGCCAUUUUGCACACAUCAACCAAUUUCGUCAUACUUCAGCUGCGAAAUUAUAUAAAUGUUUUAUAUACGGAUCUUUUAGAACUGAGCAGUAUAUUUAAAAGCACUGAAUUGUAAACAUACCCUGACAGUAACAGAGUUGUGAUAAAAGAUCCUUC